GACAGAGGCCUCGAGCGUUAGGCGGAAUCACUGGGCUUAAAGCGUGUGUAGGCGGGCCCGUAAGUGUCUUGUGAAAUCCCACGGCUCACCCGUGGAACCGCUGGGUAUACUGGGCGUCUUGGGCCAUUCAGGGGCAACUGGAACAAGCGGUGGAGCGGUGAAAUGCGUAGAUAUCGCUUGGAACGCCGACGGUGAAAACAGGUUGCUGGGAAUGUGCCGACGCUGAGACACGAAAGCCAGGGGAGCAAACGGG
rnacentral:rRNA from 1 species